UUUUCAGGAUAAGUAUAUCCCAUCUAAUAUUUGGGACAUACUUAUACUAAAA
rnacentral:pre_miRNA from 1 species